rnacentral:rRNA from 1 species
AUUGAACGCUGGCGGCAUGCCUUACACAUGCAAGUCGAACGGUAACAGGUUAAGCUGACGAGUGGCGCACGGGUGUGUAAUGUAUCGGAACGUGCCCAUUCGUGGGUGAUAACUGCUCGAAAGAGCAGCUAAUACCGCAUACGACCUGAGGGUGAAAGCGGGGGAUCGCAAGACCUCGCGCGAUUGGAGCGGCCGAUAUCAGAUUAGGUCGUUGGUGAGGUAAAGGCUCACCAAGCCGACAAUCUGUAGCUGGUCUGAGAGGACGAUCAGCCACACUGGGACUGAGACACGGCCCAGAGUCCUACGGGAGGCAGCAGUGGGGAAUUUUGGACAAUGGGCGCAAGCCUGAUCCAGCCAUGACGCGUGCGGGAAGAAGGCCUUCGGGUUGUAAACCGCUUUUGUCAGGGAAGAAAAGGUUAUGGCUAAUACCUGGGACUCAUGACGGUACCUGAAGAAUAAGCACCGGCUAACUACGUG